AUUGGCAGUGGUUGCUGUGAAGAGAAAAGAUCACCACCUGAAAUCAGCGUGGAUGAGGAGUGUGAGUAAGCAGCAAUAUGGACACAAAGAGACAUCAGAGAUGGACACACACAGGAAAGACUGUUAGAGAUGGCAAGAAAGCAUUGGUCACAAUCUACAGAGGCAGCCUCAAGAGAAACCAGCCCUGCUGACAUCUUAAUCUCAAAAUUCAGCCUCCAGAAAGGGUCUCACUCUGUUCAGUGGCACGACCUCAGCUCACUGCAG
rnacentral:lncRNA from 1 species